UGGGAUAGCUCAGUUGGCAGAGCUUUAGACUCUUAAUCACAGAGUCGUGGGUCUGAGCCCCACACUGGGCAAAA